ACCCAAGCUUAUUGAAUUAUCAAGGUUUACUGGUAAAUUGCCUCCGAUCAUAUCCGGUAAAAAUCUUUUUUGUGAAAGCAUUUUUAUUUGGUUAAUGAUGAGCUAGGGUAAAAAAACAAGCAGAAAAUUUGCAUUUAUACCGUAAUUACUAUGUCGUAAUUUUAGAAGAUGAGCGAGGGUAAAAAACAAGCUGAAAAUUUGCAUUUAUAAUUACUAUGUCGUAUUUUUUAGAUUAACUUUGCCUCUGUAUGAGAAUUUCAGUACAUGUAUUGUUCGAAGCUAGUCCUCCAUGUCUCUAUAGAAAAUCCAGGACUACUGAAGAAGGUCCACAUAUUUAAACAUUAGAAAUACCAAGUUAUUGUAUAAAUAAUUGUGAUAUGUUUUGUAUGAUUCUUGUUUAUAUAUGAAAACGUUUGUUUGUAACAUGAUGCAUUUUGUCAAGUGCUUUGAUUUGUUCAAAAUAAUUUUGAAGAUUAUAUUUACUUUUGAGUGUCUAUUUUUACAAGCAUAUUCUUAUAAGUGAUGGAAAAUAUUGGUGCAUUCUAGCUGAAAUAUCUUAAUUCUUUUUGCUCUCAUUCCCUCCCUAAAUGAUGAUAGUAUAAAUUUGAUUUCAAAGAUUAAAUAUUACCCGGUUUGCAUUUGCAUAUCACAAAGUGAAUAAGUGGUACUUACUAUGGAAUAUCCAGCAAUUUCUUUUAUUCUGUGACAGUAUUAUUGUGUUAGUGAUGCAUCAAGUGAAUACAGUUUUUUAUUUUAAAAAAUCCGGAUAUAUUUUAUAUUAUUUGAAUAGUAUUAAUAUGUUUCACCUUAGCCAAGAUAGCACUAAGCUUCUGUCAUCCUUAUACAUAUAAAGGAAUGCUAUUCAUGUUUAUUAACCAGUAUUUUAGCACAUGUACUGGUACCAACAUAUCUAAUUUUUGCUUAGGAAAUAUGGGAGAAAUUGAGAAACGUACUAUGCAACUGUAUGACUGUAAUCUAGUUUUGUUUCUGGGGUAAUCUUGCGGACCCGGACUGGAUGUCUGGCUUGUAUAUCUGAUAAUGAUAUUGUCCAAUGAUAAUAAAUUAUAAA
rnacentral:misc_RNA from 1 species